UACGAAGGGGGCUAGCGUUGCUCGGAAUCACUGGGCGUAAAGCGCACGUAGGCGGACUCUUAAGUCGGUGGUGAAAUCCUGGAGCUCAACUCCAGAACUGCCUUCGAUACUGAGAGUCUCGAGUCCGGGAGAGGUGAGUGGAACUGCGAGUGUAGAGGUGAAAUUCGUAGAUAUUCGCAAGAACACCAGUGGCGAAGGCGGCUCUCUGGUCCAUGACUGACGCUGAGGUGCGAAAGCUAGGGGAGCAAACGGG
rnacentral:rRNA from 1 species